rnacentral:lncRNA from 10 species
CAAGGAUCGGGAUAUAAACCCAGGCAUUGGAGCCUGCAACCUAACCCCCUUUGGGUCCCCUCCCCUGGUAUGGGAGCUUUGUUUUCACUCUAUUAAAUCUUGCAACUGCACUCUUCUGGUGCGUGUUUGUUAUGGCUGGAGCUGAGCUUUCGCUCACUGUCCACCACUGCUGUUUUGCCACCAUCGCAGACCCGCCGCUGACUUCCAUCACUCCGGAUCCGGUAGGGUGUCUGCUGUGCUCCUGAUCCAGCAAGGCGCCCAUUGCCACUCCCGAUCGGGCUAAAGGCUUGCCAUUGUACCUGCCCGGCUAAGUGCCUGGGUUGGUCCUAAUCGAGCUGAACACUAGUCACUGGGUUCCAUGGUUCUCUUCCAUGACCCACGACUUCUAAUAGAGCUAUAACACUCACCACAUGGCCCAAGAUUCCAUUCCUUGGUAUCUGUGAGGCCAAGAACCCCAGGUCAGAGAACACGAGACUUGCCACCAUCUUGGAAGUGGCCCGCCGCCAUUUUGGAAGUGGCCCACCACCAUCUUGGGAGCUCUGGGAGCAAGGACCCCCAGUAACAUUUUGGCAACCACAAAGGGACAUCCAAAGCGGUGAGUAAUAUUGGACCACUCUCGCUAAUGAAUUGGAUUAGUGCUGUUAUAAAUGAGACUCCAGGGAGCCUCCUCACCCAUUCCACCAUCUGAGGACACAGUAAAAAAGAUGGCUAUCAACUGAGAAGCAGACCUUCACCAGACACCGAUGAUGGUAGCAUCUUUUUCUUGGACUUCCUAGCCUUCACAACAGUGAGAAAUAUAUUACUACUGUUUAUAAGUCACCCAGUCUGUGAUAUUCUGUUAUUGCCACCUGAAAGGACUAAGACAGUGCUGUUGUAAGAAACAAAAUUAAGAGAUUUCUUCAACCAAGUAGAAAAUCAUGGAUGAUGUCAGAGAUAUUCAGUACUGUGCUGAGAUGAUGCACAUGAUGCAACUAGACCCAAUUCCAGAAAAUCUUGACCAACAGUCAAGAAAAAAUAGUGUGAAGUUACCACACUGUCUGAGUUCUGCCUUACCUAUGAACUACUCUUGAUUAUAAAGCACGCUAAUACAUUAGUCUUCACGGAAGCAUGGAGUAGGAUAGGGGGAACAACUAACACAGGAAAAUACUUGGAUUUCAGUGAGGCUGUCUGUUAAUAAAGAUGAGGGAAAGGGAUUAUCUACUAUGAGAAACAUAAGCAAUAUAAGAUAAUAAGGGGUUGGAGUAAAAAUAUUACCAGUACUUAGAGUAUUAAAUGUUUGUUGACAUUUAUGAUAGAAGGACUCUUAAAUAGACAGACAUCUGUAUAAUGGAUGUCCUUCAUUUCUUUUAUUUCAGUAAGCAAAGUUACCUCUUGUGAAAUUCUUAAUAAAAAAGAAACAUUAUAUUAAAACUUCCAGUUAUAUGCCCCAAUGCAAUACACACACACACACACACACACACAGAGAGUAUAUAAAUACAGAAAAUCUGGGAUUUGGCUCAAGGCGCCAAGGAGUCUUAUAAUAAACAAUUUGAAGAAUCCGAGAAUGAGGCAAGACUGAGAAGAUAUGCGCUGUGGAAUCUCCCAGGACAGAAGGCAUAGGUUGCAGCAACAAACUCAUUUGUUAUAUUUUGUCUAUUCUAUAUUUUCCUCUAUUGCUUCCUCUGCAAGUGGUUAAGCUAUAUUACUGUGAGUGGGAGGAACUGGGAUAAAAUUAAACAAGGUAUGUAUAUUUAGAGCUUUCUAUAAUGUUUGUCAACGUGCCUCUCUCUGCAGCUGUCAUGAAACAGAGCAUUGCUGGAUUCCCAUGACUUAUGGUUUGCCUAGUGCAAAUAAAAUUUCCUCAUGUUCUUUCAGGCAAACUGUGUUUAUCUUAAAUUACCCUGGUACACAUUGAAACGGGGAAGAACUGGAUGACUCAAAAGACUGAGGCAAUGUAGUAUAGAGAUAAAAUAAUGACUACAGUAAUACUACCUAUGUUGUGUUUAGAAGAAUCCCUGCACUUAAUAAGCACUAUGUAUGUGUGUGAUAAAUUUAAAAUAUACUUAAUGGAUAUCUUAAGUACAGAUUAUUACUUCUGGAAAUUUAGCUAGGGGGAAAAGAAGAGAGUUAGUGUUUGCAUGGGUAGGGGAAAGGGGGAACACAGGAAUUACUUAUUUAUAUAUUAUUUGAUUUUAUUUCAAGAUAGGAGACAUAAACAUGUUUAUAAACCGAGGUGAAUAAUUCAUUGGAAGGAGUGCAGAUUCUGAGGUCCCACUCACAGAUACUGAAUUUGAAAUUCUGAACAUGGGUAAAAUUCAUCUAUCUAUCUAUAUCUAUCUACAUAUUUGUAUUACAUAUUACGUACGCAUAUAUACAUAUACAUAUAUUUAUAUAUACAUUUCUACAAGAUUCUGAUGACUUAAUAAGGCCUACCUUGACUAUAUUGCUCAUCCACCACAGUCCCAACUCCUCUUGUCCUCUUAUUUUAUUUUUUCCAUAGUAUUUAUCAUGUUCUAACAUCCUACGUAGUUUAUCCAUUUAUUGUUUUUAGUCUAUUGUCUUUCUUUUCCCACUAGUACUUAAGUACUAAGAAGGCACUUUUUUCACUGCUAUAUUCUCCACACCUAGAAUAGUUCCUAGCUAUAGUAGAUUCUCAAUAAAUAUUUGUUAAAUACAUAAAUCAGGAAAGUGUAGGAACCACUUUCCCAGUGGAGGUAGAAAUAUAGGAGCCUAAACUGUGGCUAGGA